rnacentral:ncRNA from 2 species
GGUUACCUCACUGGAGAGCGGCGCCCGCGGCAUGUGCGGCGUCCACCGAAGGGGCAAGCCGAGCGCCGGAGGCGCCCGGUCAAUCUCUCAGGUACCAAGGACAGCGGGGCGUCG